rnacentral:rRNA from 1 species
CGAGAGGACCGGAGUGGACGCAUCACUGGUGUUCGGGUUGUCAUGCCAAAUGGCACUGCCCGGUAGCUAAAUGCGGAAGAGAUAAGUGCUGAAAAGCAUCUAAGCACGAAACUUGCCCCGAGAUGAGUUCUCCCUGAGACUAUAAGUCUCCUGAAGGAACGUUAAAGACGAUGACGUUGAUAGGCCGGGUGUGUAAGCGCAGCGAUGCGUUGAGCUAACCGGUACUAAUGAACCGUGAGGCUUAACCUUAC